rnacentral:lncRNA from 1 species
GAGAGAAUGUGUGUGAAGGUGCUUUCAUGGGUUUUGGUUGAUUUGGUAUUUAAACAUGCCGUUCGAAAAGAUUUGAAGGAAUGAAAUCAUUAAACUAUGGGAAAAGUGAAGAUUAAUUCAUACAAUUGUUGGUAAGAUUUGAAAGGAUGGAUAGAAUAUCGUUUGCUGUCUUAAGAAUAUUAGAAAUGCACACGCAUCAAUUAUUUGAGUUGGAUGCUUUUGCAUGUAUUCUCAUGUGU